AUGGCUUGCCCUGGUUUGAUGUGGGCACUUGUGGUUUUCACCUGUCUUGGAUCCAGCACAGCCCAGACGGUCACUCAGACUCAACCAGACACGUCUUUGCGGGAGACAGAGACUGUGACCCUGCACUGCACGUAUGACACUAGUGACACUGAUUAUUAUUUGUUCUGGUACAAACAGCCUCCCAGUGGGGAGAUGAGUUUCAUUAUUCGCCAAGAAUCUUAUAAGCAAGAGAAUGCAACAGAGGAUCGCUUCUCUGUGAACUUCCAGAAAGCAAAAAAAUCCUUUGGUCUCAGGAUCUCAGACUCCCGCCUAGAGGAUGCUGCGACGUAUUUCUGUGCUAUCACUAGGGGCACAGUGACAUGAGCAGUUGGAAGAGGC